rfam:Salmo salar isolate Sally breed double haploid chromosome ssa02, whole genome shotgun sequence.
UUCCCUGUGGCUCAGUUGGUAGAGCAUGGUGUUUGCAAUGCCAGCAUGGUGUGUGCUACGCCAGGGUUGUGGGUUCGAUUCCCACGGGGGGAC